AAGUAGAUAUCAGUCUUUUGUUUCUGUUGUUUUUAAGCUCCCUAAAAAAUGAAGAAAGUAAAAAAGCACUGGAUUGACUUUUUGUAGACACGCAGAUGGCCAUGUUCGGCUGUGACGUUAUGUCACCAACAACGAGGUUUAUUUCAGAUCACGAGUUUUGGGAUCUACACUAUGUGCUUUCUUAAGGACUGUAACCAUGAACAACAAAUGUCAUGUAUGUUACGAAAUGAAUUUGUGAAUUACAGGAUUGAUUUUCACAUUUAUCUUCAGUUUAAUAGCCACAGUCCUCCCAGAGGUCAAAUUCUUGAUUGUAAUUCAUUCCUGUUGUCUAUUCAAAACAUGUAUUGCCGAAUGUUAUUUUUUUGGGGGGGUGUUAGAUUUAAAAAAAACAUUGUUUUUUGUUUUUUAAUCUUGAUUGGGCUGGUUUUGUUUUAAUAAUGUAACAUGAAAUUAAUUUGUUCUGAUGCAAAUGCAAUAUUCCAGACAACAGGAGAGGGACAACUCAUGAACCAAAGCAUCGUUUCUAACACAUGACAUG